rnacentral:tRNA from 1 species
UGGGGUGUGGCUCAGUGGUAGAGUGCUUGCCUAGCAUGUGUGAGGCACUGGGUUCAAUCUUCAGCAUCACAU